GCCACAUGAUGUUUUUUAUCGAGACAGAGCGCCCUGUGCGGAGAUGACCUCGAUCUAUCACCCUUGACUGAUGGUG
rnacentral:snoRNA from 1 species